AGAGUUUGAUCAUGGCUCAGGACGAAUGCUGGCGGUGUGCUUCACACAUGCAAGUCGAACGAGGUAGCAAUACCUAGUGGCGGACGGGUGAGUAACGCGUGGGAAUCUGCCUAAAAAUGGGGGAUAGCUGGCCGAAAGGCUAAUUAAUACCGCAUAGGCCUAUAUUUCGACAGUUUUAUAGGUUAAAGGAGUAAUCCGUU
rnacentral:rRNA from 1 species